rnacentral:rRNA from 1 species
AAGUCGAACGGACAGACAGAGAGCUUGCUCUCUUGAAGUUAGUGGCGAACGGGUGAGUAACGCGUAAUCAACCUGCCCUUCAGAGGGGGAUAACAACGGGAAACCGUUGCUAAUACCGCGUACGAUUCAUGAACGGCAUCGUUUAUGAAUGAAAGGUGGCCUCUAUGUAUAAGCUAUCGCUGAAGGAGGGGAUUGCGUCUGAUUAGCUAGUUGGAGGGGUAACGGCCCACCAAGGCAAUGAUCAGUAGCCGGUCUGAGAGGAUGAACGGCCACAUUGGGACUGAGACACGGCCCAAACUCCUACGGGAGGCAGCAGUGGGGAAUCUUCCGCAAUGGACGAAAGUCUGACGGAGCAACGCCGCGUGAGUGAUGAAGGUCUUCGGAUUGUAAAGCUCUGUUAAUCGGGACGAAAGAGUUCUGCGUGAAUAAUGCAGAAAAGUGACGGUACCGGAAUAGAAAGCCACGGCUAACUACGUGCCAGCAGCCGCGGUAAUACGUAGGUGGCAAGCGUUGUCCGGAAUUAUUGGGCGUAAAGCGCGCGCAGGCGGCCUAUCCAGUCUGUCUUAAAAGUUCGGGGCUCAACCCCGUGAUGGGAUGGAAACUAGUAGGCUAGAGUAUCGGAGAGGAAAGCGGAAUUCCUAGUGUAGCGGUGAAAUGCGUAGAUAUUAGGAAGAACACCAGUGGCGAAGGCGGCUUUCUGGACGAAAACUGACGCUGAGGCGCGAAAGCCAGGGGAGCGAACGGGAUUAGAUACCCCGGUAGUCCUGGCCGUAAACGAUGGGUACUAGGUGUAGGAGGUAUCGACCCCUUCUGU